CUACGUGCCAGCAGCCGCGGUAAUACGGAAGGUCCGGGCGUUAUCCGGAUUUAUUGGGUUUAAAGGGAGCGUAGGCUGGAGAUUAAGUGUGUUGUGAAAUGUAGACGCUCAACGUCUGACUUGCAGCGCAUACUGGUUUCCUUGAGUACGCACAACGUUGGCGGAAUUCGUCGUGUAGCGGUGAAAUGCUUAGAUAUGACGAAGAACUCCGAUUGCGAAGGCAGCUGACGGGAGCGCAACUGACGCUUAAGCUCGAAGGUGCGGGUAUCAAACAGGAUUAGAUACCCUGGUAGUCCGCACAGUAAACGAUGGAUGCCCGCUGUUGGUACCUGGUAUCAGCGGCUAAGCGAAAGCAUUAAGCAUCCCACCUGGGGAGUACGCCGGCAACGGUGAAACUCAAAGGAAUUGACGGGGGCCCGCACAAGCGGUGGAGCAUGUGGUUUAAUUCGAAGCAACGCGAAGAACCUUACCAGGUCUUGACAUCCCUCUGACCUCUCUAGAGAUAGAGAUUUC
rnacentral:rRNA from 1 species